rnacentral:snoRNA from 1 species
GGAUCGAUGAUGACACCCACAAACGCAUUCCUUGGAAAAUCUGAACAAAAUGAGUGAGAACUCUACUACCGUCUCCUCAUCGCAAACUGAGGUCC